rnacentral:lncRNA from 1 species
AUGGCCAUGGCCCCAAGCCCUUCCCUGGUGCAGGUGUACACCAGCCCCGCAGCUGUGGCUAUGGCAGGAUGGGCUGGGCACCUGGCACCCCUACAGUGCCACCAUCUGCAGCUUCAUCGAGCAGCAGUUUGUCCAGCAGAAGGGCCAACGUUUUGGGCUUGGGAGCCUGGCCCACAGCAUCCCCUUGGGCCAGGCAGACCCCUCGCUGGCCCGUUACAUUAUUGACCUCCCCAGCUGGACCCAGUUCCGCCAGGACACCGUUUCCUUUGAAAACAGGCACCAUGCGGACUGUGCGGAGACACCUGUUCCCCCAGCACUCAGCCCCUGGCCGAGGUGUCGUCUGGGAGUGGCUGAGCGACGAUGGCUCCUGGACCGCCUAUGAAGCCGGCGUCUGUGACGAUCUGGAGCAGCAGGUGGCCAGGGGCAACCAGCUCGUGGACUUGGCCCCCCUGGGGUACAACUACACUGUCAACUACACCACCCACACGCAGACCAACAAGACUUCCAGCUUCUGCUGCAGCGUGCGGCGCCAAGCAGGGCCGCCUUACCCAGUGACCACCAUCAUCGCUCCGCCGGGCCACACAGGCGUCGCCUGCUCUUGCCACCAGUGCCUCAGUGGCAGCAGAACUGGCCCUGUAUCAGGCCGCUACCGCCACUCCAUGACCAACCUCCCUGCAUACCCCGCCCCCCAGCACCCCCCCCACAGGACCGCUUCUGUGUUUGGGACCCACCAGGCCUUUGCACCAUACAACAAACCCUCACUCUCCGGGGCCCGGUCUGCGCCCAGGCUGAACACCACGAACGCCUGGGACGCAGCUCCUCCUUCCCUGGGGAGCCAGCCCCUCUACCGCUCCAGCCUCUCCCACCUGGGACCGCAGCACCUGCCCCCAGGAUCCUCCACCUCCGGUGCAGUCAGUGCCUCCCUCCCCAGCGGUCCCUCAAGCAGCCCAGGGAGCGUCCCUGCCACUGUGCCCAUGCAGAUGCCAAAGCCCAGCAGAGUCCAGCAGGCGCUCGCAGGCCCGUGCAGGCAUGACGAGUGUUCUGAUGUCAGCCAUUGGACUCCCUGUGUGUCUUAGCCGCGCACCCCAGCCCACCAGCCCUCCCGCCUCCCGUCUGGCUUCCAAAAGUCACGGCUCAGUUAAGAGAUUGAGGAAAAUGUCCGUGAAAGGCGACCCCGAAGCCAGAGCCAGAGCCAGAGCAGGUCAUAAAAAACUACACGGAAGAGCUGAAAGUGCCCCCAGAUGGACUGCAUCAUCUGCAUGGAGAAGCUGUCCGCAGCGUCUGGAUACAGCGAUGUGACUGACAGCAAGGCAAUCGGGCCCCUGGCUGUGGGCUGCCUCACCAAGUGCAGCCACGCCUUCCACCUGCUGUGCCUCCUGGCCAUGUACUGCAACGGCAAUAGAUGGAAGUCUGCAGUGUCCCUCCUGCAAAACCAUCUAUGAGAGAAGACGGGGACCCAGCCCCAGGGAAAGAUGGAGGUAUUACGGUUCCAGAUGUCGCUCCCCGGCCACGAGGACUGCGGGACCAUCCUCAUAGUUUACAGCAUUCCCCAUGGCAUCCGGGCCCUGAGCACCCCAAUCCCGGAAAGCCGUUCACUGCCAGAGGGUUUCCCCGCCAGUGCUACCUUCCAGACAACGCCCAGGGCCGCAAGG